CCCCUAGAUGUUCUGGGCCGCACGCGCGCUACACUGAACAGUUCAACAAGUCUUAACCUUGGCCGAUAGGUCUGGGUAAUCUUUGAACGCUGUUCGUGAUUGGGAUAGACCUUUGCAAUUAUGGGUCUUCAACGAGGAAUUCCUAGUAAACGCAAGUCAUCAGCUUGCAUUGAUUACGUCCCUGCCCUUUGUACACACCGCCCGUCGCACCUACCGAUUGAAUGGUCGGGUGAAAUCUCGGGACGGCGGCUUGGUCGCUUGCGUCCGACUGCUGAAACUUGAUUAAACCAUAUCAUUUAGAGGAAGGUGAAGUCGUAACA
rnacentral:rRNA from 1 species